ensembl:snRNA U6 U6 spliceosomal RNA
GUGCUCACUUUGGCAGCACAUAUACUAAAAUGGUAACAAUAUAGAGAAGAUUGUCAUGGCCCUGCACAGGGAUGACAUGCACAUUCGUGAAACAUUCUCUAUUUUA